rnacentral:rRNA from 1 species
UACGUAGGGUGCAAGCGUUAAUCGGAAUACUGGGCGUAAAGCGUGCGCAGGCGGUGAUGUAAGACAGAUGUGAAAUCCCCGGGCUUAACCUGGGAAUGGCCUUUGUGACUGCACGGCUAGAGUGUGUCAGAGGGGGGUAGAAUUCCACGUGUAGCAGUGAAAUGCGUAGAGAUGUGGAGGAAUACCGAUGGCGAAGGCAGCCCCCUGGGAUAACACUGACGCUCAUGCACGAAAGCGUGGGGAGCAAACAGG